rnacentral:lncRNA from 1 species
CUUUCUCUUGCAUGAUUGCUCUGGCUAAGACCUCCAGUACUAUGUUGAAAAGGAGUGGUGAGAGUGAGCAUCCUUGUCUUAUUCCAGUUCUCAAGGAGAAUGACCACUCAAUAUUUUCAGUAUCUCAUUUCUUCAGAUGAAAAAACAGAGGCCCAGAAAGUGAAAAUAACUCCCUUAAAGGCACAAAGGUAGUACUGCUGAAUUCAUAUACCAGCUCCAACAACUACUAGCUGUGUGACCUUAGAUGGGGAGAAAUAUUACCUCGCCUUUUUGCCUUGGAGCUGGCCAUAAGGAAAUUCUCUGACCUACUUUGUCUGAUUAUGGAUCAUAAGACCCUCAUUUCAGAAGAGGUUCUGCCCCAUACUCUGGAGGAAGGAAUGCUGCAUGGAGAGGCCAAGAAGAAUCUGAACAGAUCUUGUUGGUUUUCUGCAUCUAUUUGUAUUAGAUCGUACUCUCCUUGUCCAAUCACAUUUCCACACAGAUGCCCAUGCUUCAGUCAUGCCUAUCCAAUGCAAAAGGACAUGGUACAGAAAGCUUCUGGGGUAACUGAACACAGGGAGGUUCCUGGAGGGUGGCACACCUGGGAAAGUGUGGAAGCCCCACCACUCCCCCUACCAUAACUUGCUCCAGGUAUCUCAUCAUCU